UUAAUGAUGAGAGAUGGUAUCUGAAGAGCAAACAAAUUUUUGUUGAAAAACAUUUUACCAUCACUGCUGCCUUCCUUCUGAUAAU